UACGGGAGGCAGCAGUGGGGAAGUAUUGCACAAUGGGCGCAAGCCUGAUGCAGCCAUGCCGCGUGUAUGAAGAAGGCCUUCGGGUUGUAAAGUACUUUCAGUCGUGAGGAAGGUGUUAAGGUUAAUAACCUUAGCAAUUGACGUUAGCGACAGAAGAAGCACCGGCUAACUCCGUGCCAGCAGCCGCGGUAAUACGGAGGGUGCGAGCGUUAAUCGGAAUUACUGGGCGUAAAGGGCACGCAGGCGGUUAAUUAAGUUGGAUGUGAAAUCCCCGGGCUUAACCUGGGAAUGGCAUUCAAGACUGGUUAGCUAGAGUCUUGUAGAGGGGGUAGAAUUCCAUGUGUAGCGGUGAAAUGCGUAGAGAUGUGGAGGAAUACCGGUGGCGAAGGCGGCCCCUGGACAAAGCUGACGCUCA
rnacentral:rRNA from 1 species